UACGAGGGGGGCGAGCGUUUGUUCGGAAUUAUUGGGCGUAAAGGGUGCGUAGGCGGUUUGGUAAGUCUUGUGUGAAAUCUACAGGCUCAACUUGUAGUCUGCACGAGAAACUGCCGGGCUUGAGUAUGGGAGAGGUGACUGGAAUUCCUGGUGUAGCGGUGAAAUGCGCAGAUAUCAGGAGGAACACCGGUGGCGAAGGCAGUCUGCUGGGCCAAGACUGACGCUGAGGCGCGACAGCGUGGGGAGCAAACAGG
rnacentral:rRNA from 1 species